rnacentral:misc_RNA from 1 species
GACGAACUGCGCAAACGUUAUUCGGAAUCACUGGGCUUAAAGAGUCCGUAGGCGGCUUGGUAGGUGGGGUGUGAAAGCCCACGGCUCAACCGUGGAAUUGCGCUCCAAACCAUCAAGCUCGAGGGAGAUAGAGGAGAGCGGAACUCACGGUGGAGCGGUGAAUUGCGUUGAUAUCGUGGGGAACACCGGUGGCGAAAGCGGCUCUCUGGGUCUCUUCUGACGCUGAGGGACGAAAGCUAGGGGAGCGAACGGG